rnacentral:rRNA from 1 species
CAGUCGCCGCGGUAAUACGGAGGGGGCUAGCGUUGUUCGGAAUUACUGGGCGUAAAGCGUGCGUAGGUGGUGGUUUAAGUCCGUUGUGAAAGCCCUGGGCUCAACCUGGGAAUUGCAGUGGAUACUGGGUCACUAGAGUGUGGUAGAGGAUAGUGGAAUUUCCGGUGUAGCAGUGAAAUGCGUAGAGAUCGGAAGGAACAUCUGUGGCGAAGGCGACUAUCUGGGCCAACACUGACACUGAGGCACGAAAGCGUGGGGAGCAAACAGGAUUAGAUACCCCGGUAGUCCCUGUCUCUUAUAC